CUACGGGCUGCUCCAGUGGGGAAUCUUAGACAAUGGGCGCAAGCCUGAUCUAGCCAUGCCGCGUGAGUGAUGAAGGCCUUAGGGUCGUAAAGCUCUUUCGCCAGAGAUGAUAAUGACAGUAUCUGGUAAAGAAACCCCGGCUAACUCCGUGCCAGCAGCCGCGGUAAUACGGAGGGGGUUAGCGUUGUUCGGAAUUACUGGGCGUAAAGCGCACGUAGGCGGAUUAGAAAGUUAGGGGUGAAAUCCCGGGGCUCAACCUCGGAACUGCCUCUAAAACUCCUAGUCUAGAGUUCGAGAGAGGUGAGUGGAAUUCCAAGUGUAGAGGUGAAAUUCGUAGAUAUUUGGAGGAACACCAGUGGCGAAGGCGGCUCACUGGCUCGAUACUGACGCUGAGGUGCGAAAGUGUGGGGAGCAAACAGGAUUAGAUACCCGAGUAGUC
rnacentral:rRNA from 1 species